UUCCACGAUUAUACAAUAUAUACAAGGAGAUGGGAAUCGUUACAUCUUUCCAGAACAUUCUUGACAAUAUAUUUCUUCCCCUUUUUGAGGUCACCGUCAAUCCGGAUUCACAUCCCUAGUUGCAUGUUUUCUUGAAACAGGUUGUUGGGUUAGAUUUGGUGGAUGAUGAAAGUAAGCCUGAAAGACGGCCAACAAAACACAUGCCUACACCAGCUCAAUGGACCAAUAUAUUUAAUCCCGCAUUCUCGUACUAUGUGCGCUACUGUUAUGGUAACCUGUACACAUUAAAUAAGCUCCGCGAGUCAAAGGGCAUGACAACAAUCAAAUUCCGUCCGCAUUCAGGGGAGGCUGGUGACAUAGACCAUCUUGCUGCAACAUUCCUUGCGGCUCACAAUAUUGCUCACGGAAUCAAUCUGAGAAAAUCACCCGUCCUCCAAUACCUGUAUU